GGCUAUUGCAGCGUGAGGGCUUGUGCGGCGGCGGUGUUGCUUGCAUGUGGGUGGUGGCCGGCAUGUGGGCGGCAGAGGCCGUCUCUUGUGGGGCUGCGGCGGCAGCUGGCUCUUGCGGUCGCGGCACAUCGGGUCAUACUGGGGGGUGUGCUAGCGUCUCCGGCCACCCCCAUUCCCCUGAAACCACCCUCUUCUCUCCUUCCUUCCCUCCUAUCUCUCUUCCUCUCGCUGCUGUCUCUCGGCACUAGCAGUUGGGGGAGGCAUGCGUCUCCCUUUCCUUCCUCCUUCUUUCUCUCUUCUCUAUUUGCCGCCUCUUGGCACAAGCUAUUGGGGAGGCCGCCCCCCUCCUCUUAGUUGUCUAGGAGCCUUGCUGAUCACCCCAGUGCCCCUCUCUCUGUGCUGGUGGUGAAGUUGGAGGUGGUUGCUGCAGUCGAAAGGUUCAUCCCGCGAAGCCUGGAGCUCCUCACCGGUUACAUGGUUGACACCGAUGCCCAUUUGCCCUGCUUCCAGCUCUCAGUUCUUCCCCAGGCCUGCCUGCCUCCUUUCCUCCUUGUUGCUCCUCCCUUCUUUUGGUAGUCUGCUUCCAGAUCCGGCCGUGGAGUCUCUCAGUGGUUGAGGAGUUUGUUUGUCCGUGGGGUUGGUCCAGUCUGACUGUAAUCAGGGCUUUUGGGCCUCGCCGGUGCUUCUUGUGCCCUGUGACCGUGUGAACCUGCUGUAUUUCCGAGUUUGGACCGGAGUGCUUACCUCUAGGGUGCGAGAGUUCUUGUGUUAAGGCGGAGUCGGAGCUGCUGCAUCGGGUCAGCUGAUGAGCUGGGCAACGAUAACACUCAACACUCUUACUUUGGCUUCUUGGAGGUCCUGCACCUUUUGUGAGAGUGUUGGGUGUAAGCCUUGCCUGGUCUUUCAGGAUCAGCAACAUCGACUCCUACGGGUGCCAUUCCCUCCUUGGAGGUGUUUCCUUGUGGACUCUCUCCCACCUUUGGGUGAAAACCCAGUCCAACUUUUGGGCGGGCGUCAACAAUGGCUUUGGUCGUUGUUCACCUCCUUGGAGGCUUCGCCUUAAAGGUCAUGCUCUUCCCUCGGUCUCUUUAGUGGUUCGUAGUUUUGUUACAGGCUUUUUUGUGUCUUCUGUGUAAGGGUUUGCCAGUUUCCCCUUAGCAAACCAUGCAGUUGUAAGGCCCGGUUUUCCUUAUAAACAGGGUCAACUCUCUUCUUCUAAUAUAUCCGGUAGAUCUCCUACCGUCUACUGUUUCAAAAAUAUGAAUGAAGGAUACCGAUGACAACGGCGAUGGUGAGAUUGUGAUUCUCACCAAUCAUGAGUGGGAGAUCGCUACACGUGUGCAUAAAUUUCUGAAGCCCUUUUAUAAUGCUAUAGCUCAAUUAUCAGGAAUUUACUAUCCUACAUCUUGUUUGGUGCUUGAGUGGAUUUGGAAGCUGGCACUUGUUUUUGAUGAAAACCGUUCUGAUCGUAUUGUCUUCCAUUGUUAAACCCAUGGAAGAAAAAUUUCUCAAAUACUUCACCGCUAUACCUCACCUUUAUUGCUUUGCUUUGAUACUUGAUCCUCGCAAAAGUUGGAAACCGCCAAGGUUGCCAUGAACUCAAUAGGUGAUGCAGUGGGGCUUGAUUAUUCUGAAGCUUUUCAACAUGUCAAUGAUGAGCUCUAUAGGGUUUUCCGUCUAUACCGAACCAAGCUUGGUGGUACUCCCCGAGUUCCUGAGCAGACCUCACAAAAGAAAGCAAGCAAGUCAAGUGCAGUAAAUUUGUGGAUGCAGUAUAUAGGCAACGACCAAGCCUCUCCAUCCUCAGAGAACAAAUCAACAUGGAACCCGGAUUCAGAGCUUAACCACUACCUCGCCACCAAUCAUACUGAGCAUGAUCCGACGCUUGAUGGCCACGAUGUCGAUCUCCUUGGGUGGUGGAAAGAGAAAGAGCGAACUCUUCCUGUGUUAGCUCACUUUGCUCGAGAUAUUCUUCUGGUUCCAGCCUCCUCCGUCUCUUCCGAGCAAGCAUUCAACGUUACUGGAAGAAUUAUUGAAGAACAAUGGUCAUGCCUGACACCCGAGACGGUUAAGUCAAUAUUUUGUCUUAAAGACUGGAUGGAAGCAGACGAACUAACGCAACACUGUCUACAUGAUCAAGAGUUUGCCGAUGCAAUGGAAGACGCAUUGGCGGAAAUUUGCCUUACCAAAGAUGAUGGUGGUGUUGAUCUGGAGUAAUUGAUGGUAUAAUGUAAAAUAGUUGUUGUACUCUUUUUUCCUUACGGGGAACCCUACUUUAGGGCGUAAGGUUUUUAACGAGGCAACAACUAUAUAUUCAAAUUAUUAACAUAUAUAUUUUCCCCCAAUUUUAUUGUCUCAAGUUAUUUACGAUAUUAUGUCAAUUCUAAUUGUGUUCAUUAAGCCAUGUACAUUAUUAUCUCAUUGUUUUUUCAUUUCCCCUCUCUUAUUUUUUCCCUCCCUUAUUUCAGUUUCCUCUCUCAUUUACCCUGAUUUUUCCCCUGUUAUUAUUUCAUUUAUCAAUCAGCAUCGGGCAAAGCACAUGGUCAGAGGCAAAAACCCUAGGCACCCGGGGCGUCGGGAGUCGGUCCUCGGCGGCAGCGGCUCUCAGCGUCGGCAGCCCUCGGUGCGGGCCGCACGGCGUGGCGACAGCGGCUAUGCGCGGCUGCGCGAUGUCGGUCCUCGGCGGCGGCGGCGGCUCUCGGCGUAGGAAGCCCUCGGCGCGGGCCGCGCGGCGCGACGACAGCGGCUAUGUGCGGCCGCACGACGUCGGUCCUUUGCGGCGGCUCUCGGCGUCGGCGGCUGGCACGGGCAGCGCCGCAGGGAGCAGGCGGCGGCGGCGGCGGGUCGGCGCGGCCGCGCGGGCCCCGGCGAAAACCCUAGGCACGACACGACUCCUCAGGUAAUUCUGGGCCGUGCUUGGGCCGGCACGGCUCGAAGAGGCCCGACAUGUCUUUGGGCCGUGCUUGGGCCUUGUCUUCUCCACCUCGGCCUAGCAUGGCCCGGCACGAUUAGCAGGCCGUGCUGGGCCAGCACGGCCCAUUCUAGCACGAAGCACGAUGGGUCGGGCCGGGCCGUGCUAGCCCGGCACGGCCCAAGUCCCAGCUCUAUCUCAAGGUCAGCAAAUGGUGUUGUCAAGCACAGCAGGGAGUUCUGCUCAAAGCACGAAGACGAAGACAGUCACCCUGUGUACAACAAGUACAACCCAACAAUCCAUGGCCCAAAAAAAAACCAAGAACAAGGCACCAAUGGAGACCCAGGAGCUGGUCAGGGUUAAAUGCCAAGGCUAAAGUUUCUAUAGAACAUGGUGGUUCAGCUAGAGUUGAUAUGCAAGCCAUAGUUCCCCAUUCCUAGAGCUCUACAACUUCAUAUGUGAGACUCACAUUUGGCAAAGCAUCUGUUUGUGUCUCAACUCAAGAACCUACACAAACCAAGAAAAAGAAGAAAUCUGGUGGGGCACUUCUUCUUCUGCCCCCAUGGGAAACUAACAAGCUCUGAAUAUGGCACGUUUACUACUGUUAGAGUAAUGGAAGUACUUGUUUUAUGAUGUAAUGGCAAGCAAAUUAGCCCAGUAUUUCAGCUUUCUUCGUAGUGAGGCCAGACUAUUUGGGUUAAUAUUCCAACUAUGUGUGAUGUAAUGUCAGACCUAUUAGCCUAGAACUUCUGCUAUGUUUGUUGUGAUGCCAGACAAUUUGGCUAACUAUGCCACCUAUCUGAGAUGUAAUGUCAGACAAUUUCAGUUGCUUUUGUAUGAAUGAUGGAGAAAAAUAUUUCAGUUC